UAGGUAGUUUCGUGUUGUUGGG
rnacentral:miRNA from 2 species